rnacentral:rRNA from 1 species
UACGAAGGGGGCUAGCGUUGCUCGGAAUCACUGGGCGUAAAGCGCACGUAGGCGGAUCUUUAAGUCAGGGGUGAAAUCCCAAGGCUCAACCUUGGAACUGCCUUUGAUACUGGGGAUCUCGAGUCCGGAAGAGGUUGGUGGAACUCCGAGUGUAGAGGUGAAAUUCGUAGAUAUUCGGAAGAACACCAGUGGCGAAGGCGGCCAACUGGUCCGGUACUGACGCUGAGGUGCGAAAGCUGGGGGAGCAAACCGG